rnacentral:misc_RNA from 1 species
GUAGGUGAACCUGCGGAAGGAUCAUUAACGUAUAAUCCGACGGGGUUCGGUCGCGCCCCGCUCCGGCUCUCGCGGGCCGUGCAGCGGGCGCCCGUCCCUGUUCACCCUUCACAAACCCCACUGUGCACCUUCACGGCAGAGGGCUCACGCCCGAAGCCGCAUACCAAUAAACCCCAGUUUUAAAGAAUGUCGAGCGGACCUCGUGCCGCCUCUAAUUUGUAACAACUUUCAACAACGGAUCUCUUGGCUCUC